GGAGGGGUCGCAUAGUGGCCUAGUGCGCCCGCCUGCUAAGCGGGUUCCGGAGCAAUUCGGUCGAGGGUUCGAAUCCCUCCCCCUCCGCCA
rnacentral:tRNA from 1 species